rnacentral:lncRNA from 1 species
CAGCUUUUAUUUUUAUUCAAAAUGCACCACUUUAUUUUCCUUACCAGACAGCCAAGCAUUAAGCACGUUCCAGUCACGUGACUUCUUCAGCGAGCCCCCAGGCUUCCACUCCACGGGAGUCUGGGAGCUCCUGGACAGAGGAGUCCUGAGAUUUCAAAUAGUCAAGCCUUCUCCCCAGCCACAAGUUCCUUUGAUGCUUGGGUUACUGAACACAAACGCAAUGGAUUGUUUGUCUUCAACAUAAUCCGUUUCUGUUCCUAAACGUGUUGGCUGCGCUUUCUUUCUGAUGAGCACGCUGACUCUAAUUUGAACUUCAUCAAAAUCUUCUUUGUCGUCGUAUGUUCUAGAGUAUAAGAAAAGCCAAUACGGCCCUUGGUUCGGACAUCAACUUUCUUUUAAAUUUUUUUUUCGUAUUUUUAGUAGAGACGGUGUUUCACUAUGUUGGCCAGGCUGGUCUCGAAUUCCUGACCUCGUGAUCUGCCCGCCUUGGCCUCCCAAAGUGCUGGGAUUACAGGCAUGAGCCACCGUGCCCGGCCCGGACACCAACUUUCAUACCUAGAUGCUCAGACUUAUCUUUAAGAAGUUGUUUUAUCUUGCUUACUGCUAAAGGUGUCUGGGUGAGGGUGGCCCGAGUGGUCUGCAGCUUCCUCUUGCUCACAGGCCGGGGGACUAAGGAAGGCGACAUCUUCACUGUCCUCCUGGACUAGCUCCAGCCCCAGGAACUACGGCCUCUCUCCGUGCACACGGCACGCGAAUUCAUGAACUUGCUUUUAAACCUGCACAAGAGUCUUUCUGAUCAUUAGUUCUUAAAAUUCUACAUUACCAUGGAAAUAUCACGGAGGCUCUAAGGCUCCCCUUAAAGUGACCAAAAAACUGGAUAGGCGUAGCGUCCUAAAACCUCAUAGAAACAUACGGAAAUGGCUAAGAGGGAAGCAAUGUCAAAACAGGGAACCACAUAAAAGCUUUCAAAAACUACUGGGAAAGAGCCCGCAAGAUGGAAAAACUCAUAAGAGGUCGAGGACAAUUUACACAAUUUAUAACAAAGGAAUGGAGCGUCCCAGGCACUCAGGAGUCCGUAAAUGACUCCUCCUUCCUACGAGAAAUGGGAUGUCUCCUACAGUCGCAAGUCAGCCCGUGCCUUCUGGAGCUUUUCUAGAUACGUCUCUUACAAACGCUUCUUUUAAAAAAAAAGGCGAGAAUGUGUGGCGUAGCUAAUAUUCUGUCUUCAAACUCAGUAGGAAGUCAACAAAGAAAAAUCCCGCUGAAAGCGCCAAGGCCGGCUGGGUUCCCCGCACCUCCUGCAGGUGAGUGGUGCCCGGGGCUGGGCACCGUGGAGCGUCGGGGGCGCGGCGCCCCGGGCCGGCGGGCCCUGCUUGGCAUUAUGUAAUCACCCCCGGGCCGGGCAGCCGGGCCAACCCCGCCGCCGCCGACCCGCUCCACUGCACAGCGCGGCGGGAGCGACACGCGGCAGGCGAGUGCGGCUGGGAAACGACCCGCGGCUCGGGGGCCGCGAGGACCCGGCCCUGGCCUGGCCUCUCCUCGCGUCCCCUGGCCCGCGCCCCCGCUCCCGGAGCGCCCGGCGGGCCCAGCGCACCCCACAACCGGCAAGCAGGUGCCUUGCCCCAGGGACAGCCCCAGCGUGCCGGGAGGACUCAGCCCAGCCCAUUCGCAGCGGCUCACGCUGCCCUGCCUAGCCUUUCCCGCAGAACCCCCAGUGGAAGCUCCGGCCCAGGCCUUCACCGCGCUCCUCCCUGCUCCAGCCCUGGUGCCUCUCCUCCGGGCCCGUCUGGCAUGGCAUGCCUCCUCCUUUCGGAGAAAUUAACAAGGGCAAAGCCCCCUUCAGCCGUGCAGACACUCUGAACGGGAGCCUGUCAGCUUUGAGGGGACGUGGGCUGUGCAGGUUCCUCCCAGCCCGGGGCUACCUCCUCGGUCCUGGACACCAUCUGCACUCUGUCAGCCAGCAUGUCUGUCAUUUUCUUCUCAACGGACUUGAAGCUGCAGAAGGCAAUAGGGACACAGCAGUGAGGGGCACAGGCCCGAGAGCCAUGGUGGGCCACCCAGGAGCCCAGUCCUGAGUUGGGUGCUGUGCCAGAAUCAGGGACUCAGAAGCUCAGGCUGGAGUGCGAUGGUACGAUCUCGGCUUGCAGCAACCUCUGCCUUCUGGGUUCAGGUGAUUCUCGUGCCUCAGCCUCCCGAGUAGCUGGGAUUACAGGCAUGCACCACCAUGCCAGGCUACUUUUUGUAUUUUUAGUAGAGAUGAAGUUUCACCAUGUUGGCCAGGCUGGUCUAGAACUCCUGACCUCAAGUGAUCCGCCUGCCUUGGCCUCCCAAAGUGCUGGGAUUACAGGCAUGAGCCACCAUGCCCAGGCCGGGAAUAAUUGUUUUUUAAGUGUGUAUGUUCUAAACAGAAGAAGGCGCUACCAGAGGAACAGAAAGCACCCAGGCGAAGGAGGGGCAUGGACAGGGGUGGGGAGAGGGGUGGGCCCAGGAAGCAUAGAGGGGCAGGGCUUCCAGGUGAGCCAAUAGGACCAGGGGCCAAGGCAAGAGGGACAAGCAGAGGACGGUGCUGAGAGCCACCUGGGCUGGGACCACAGCAGGAAAAGAGCUGCGAUGCAGCCUCCGUCCACCACUCCUCCUAAACUGCACUUCCAUGCUGUCACCUUCCCGAAGCAUGGCUCUCCAGAGCUCCCCUUUGCCCAGUCUUAGGGUGAGGGUGUUUCCAGCUGGCUCCCCGCCCCAUCCACAGGUUGCUCCUCUUAGCACCUCCUGUGCUCUCCCUAUCUACAGCCCAUCUGGAGUAGGUUCUGCUUUGUGGCAGCCCGAGGGGCGGUGCUCAGCCUCCCAUGAAGGGGGUCUUCCCUCACAAUCGGACUGCUGGCUGCCUUUGGCCUCGUCUGCAGGGAGCAGGGCGGGUGGGCUGGCUGGGACGGCAGCAAGCCCUGCUUACAGGCCCAGCGGACCCUCAAAGGUGCAAGGACUUUCUGAGGGUGCAGGACCUGUCUGACUCUCAGAGGCCCAGGCAAUGAGAAAAUGACAGGCAAGAUACAAACAAUACCAAAUCAUUUAAUACGUGCAAGAAAGUCCGAAGAAUUCUGAUAUACCCCACGAUAUGCUUUUUUGGAAUAGCCAAAAAUGAAGUUUAAAAAAACGUUUUCCACAUGCCUCGGCGUCCUGCGUAGCCGGUGGUCAGGCAGAGCUCCCUCUCCCUGGCGGGUGCGGGGCGGCUCCGCCCCAGGACGCUCCCGCCCCUCCCAGAUCCCAGCCCCUGACCCCCGCCCUUCCCGGGCCGCUGG